rnacentral:tRNA from 1 species
GCGAACGUGGCGGAACUGGCAGACGCGCUAGCUUGAGGGGCUAGUGGGGGCAACCUCGUGGGAGUUCGAGUCUCCCCGUUCGCA